UCAAACCACUCCUUCCUUCUGCUUUCAGAAGUGAUAAAAGUUGACGAAAUAUUAUACUCCUGUUUAAUUGCUGCACACAUGAUAUCAUCACGCGUAUGAAUGAGGGAAAUAAAAAGACAGCAGUCUGUAUUUUCAUCUCUUAAAACAAGUUGAGAGAUUAUCUGUCAUGAUCUGAGAUGGCAGAUCGUAACGUAACGUGAGAGGUGGACCCAAAUCCAGACGCGUAAAGGCGAGAGUAGUUUUAAACAAAAGGAGCUGCCCUCAGAUUCGGACCUCAGCACCACCCAGUGACAACAGACAGAUCAUCCAACAUAUUCACAUGUUAACUGCAGUAAAAAGGGUUCCCAGGCGUGAUUGGCUGUAUAGAUGGCACUCACAUGCCAAUCAUUGCUCCCUCAGUAAAUGAAGGAGACUAUGUGAACAGGAAGUCUUUCCACAGCAUUAAUGUACAGAUCAUAUGUCAUGCUGCCAACAUUAUCACAAAUGUGGAAGCCAAGUGGCCAGGCUCUGUUCAUGACUCACGAAUUUUUCGUGAAUGUACACUGAGCACAAAAUUUGGACAUGGUGAGUUGAAAAUACUUUAAAAUAUAUAAAGACCAAUUGCUACAGGGACAUUUGAACUGAAGUGUAUCCUUCUGUCUUAGGAGAGUUCACUGGCUACUUGCUUGGUGA